AUUGAACGCUGGCGGCAGGCCUAACACAUGCAAGUCGAACGAGUGGCGGACGGGUGAGUAAUGUCUGGGAAACUGCCUGAUGGAGGGGGAUAACUACUGGAAACGGUAGCUAAUACCGCAUACCAUCGGAUGUGCCCAUAUGGGAUGAGCUAGUAGGUGGGGUAACGGCUCACCUAGGAGACGAUCCCUAGCUGGUCUGAGAGGAUGACCAGCCAGACGGGAACGGAGACACGGUCCGGACUCCUACGGGAGGCAGUAGUGGGGAAUAUUGCACAAUGGGCGCAAGCCUGAUGCAGCCAUGCCGCGUGGAUGAAGAAGGCCUUCGGGUUGUAAAGUACUUUCAGCGGGGAGGCGUUACCCGCAGAAGAAGCACCGGCUAACGCCGUGCCAGCAGCCGCGGUAAUUC
rnacentral:rRNA from 1 species